rnacentral:lncRNA from 1 species
GUCACAUCUGGGUUAGUUUGGCGGCGUCUAUACUUUAUAACAUUUUUUUAUCAAAAAUGUUUCUAUUUUUAAUUAAAUUUGGUUAUUGGUGUUGGUUGAACUUGAACUUUUUAGAAUUUGAAAAAUCUCAUGGAUUCUAGGAGUUAGAUGAAUGUAUCGGUAGAAUAGUUUUACAACUGUCCGUGUCUGUGCUGCAUAGGCUGAUGGCUGCUUUUCCUUUGUUUAUGAAACUUAUCAAGUUGUCUGUGUAUUGGUCCUCAUGUGAAAUAUAUACCCUCCUAUAGUCUUAUGCUUCUCUAUGAAGAGUGUAAUGACCUAUUCCUUUUGGGAUUGUUACCAUUUUCAUUUUAACUCAACCUAUAAUGGCAUCUGAAAUAGGU